AGGGAAAUCAACAUGCAAGUAUUGUGAAAGAGAAAAGAAAGCAGAAACUGGAUGGCUCAAGUGAAUCGUGUACUCGAACUCAGGUAGCUUUUGCUGACUGGAGCACUUAUGAUGCCUUCACUAAAGUGAAUCGGAUGCACGAGUCAUUCGUCACCGAGUGGUGAAUGUUAGUUUUGUCGAGUCGGUGAUGAAGACGUGGACAGGAGAGUCGGUUUGAAGCAAGGAUCUGUUGGUUUAUAUCAUUCAUACAAAUGUAGUUGUAUCACUUACACAAUGAAUUGUAUUUAUCUGGUUUUCUUAUUUACUUUAGCUAGCUAUAAGUGAGCGAGUUAACACAGAGUCAGAUCCUACAUGUAACAUAAUUAAGUUAGCGUGUAUUCAUUGAUACAUGUUAAGAUUUUCAGUACCUGUUCACAUGAAUAUGUCGAUGGAGUCUACAGUGGAACCAUUCGCUAUUGUGUGUUUCAAUAAGACGUGAAUGAUUGGUGCACACCUAGCCAGUGCAAUACGUCACCUUCACAAUUUGAUGUUUUAACUCUCAAGAGACGCCAUUGUACUCCUCCCGAGUGCAUAUGACCAAUGGGGUUGCAGCAGAAGCAGACUGGGCCACCCGGUAAGCAGCAGGAUAGCCGCCCUGCAGAAGGAAGAGGUGGCGUCAGGUGACAGGAAGUGACAUGCAGAUGAAAGAUGAACAGGCGCCAGACUACUCACGUAGACGUCUGCCCCGUAGAGGCCAUCCUGGUACACCACGCUGAUGGGAGAAGCAGGGAAGAAUAUUUAGCAGGUUUUCCACCAAGCGGGACCAGGACAGUCAGGGAUCAAAGUUUAGUUUUUCCCAAAGUUAGCGUCUCGGCUGGAGUUGCUGUGAUCUUUUACUGACACGUUCACGUUGUCUUCCAAAGGUCUUGUCCUGGUGGCGUGAGCAGAUGCACUCCACCCGCCGGCAUUCCUGACCAUCCCGACCAUCAGCGACUUAUCACGAUAAUUUCUACGUCCAGGAUCUUCCCAAAUUGCUGGAAGAAGGAGCAGACGUGGUUACACGGAUCUCCUGAGGAUGAAAAGCGGGCGGAGUGCUCCUCACCCCAAACAUCUGCCUGAGGUCCGGGUCUCGGAAGCGGAAGGGGAUGUUUGACACGUGGAGACGCUUGGGCUGGACCUUGGCCGACCCCUCAUCGUCACUCGCGCUCCCCGCGCCGCCGCCGGACGUCGCCGAGGCGCUCAGAGCCUGGGGGUCGGAGGUCACAGGGGCUAAGGCUUCCUCCUGGAGGUCGGAGACAGGCAAAGGAAAAACGGGAAGCAGCAAGGUGGGAAAGAAAAGGUGGAGAGGAUGAGAGGACGGAAACGUGAGCACAGCCCCUCACAUUUGGAUAGACUUUAGAGUAGUCAGUGUACAGCCGGUGUAGCGGCAUAGAUGCCACGUUAUUGUCAAUGCUGUAGCUGUCAGUCAACAUGUCGGAUCGUGGACUUGCUGUCAAUAUUUAGUCUGUGCCCUGCCUGAGGAUGGAACCGAAUAGAACUACACAAACAUAGAAUAUCCAUACAAUGAACUGUAAAACACAUACAGUAGUCCCUCCUGUAUGGCGCUAGUACUUCCACUUAUACUCCUACUGCACAAUGUACUACAUAAUAAGAGGCAAAUAACACAAAACCUUUUUAUCAUGAUUAGAGCCGUCUGGACAUGAAAUAACACCCCUAUAUUCAGUCACCUUUAUACUCCUGUAGCAUAAUAUUGUACAAAAGACAAAAUAUGACAUAGAAACCACCUUCAAAAUACACUUUUUAUUACUAGAGCCCUCUAGACAUGAAAUAACACCCCUAUGGUCACCUUUACACUCAUAUUAAACCAAUAUAGUAGAUAUGAUAAAAGAAAAUAAGAUAUAGAAAACCUGUUUACAACUUCUAAAUCCAUCUUUUAUCAUUAUUAGAGCCCUGUGGACAUGAAAUAACACCCCUAUGGUCACAUUUACAUUCCUAUUAACCUAUAUAGUAGACAUAAGCAGAGAAAAUAAGACAUAGAAAACCUGUUUACAACUUCUAAAUCCACCUUUUAUCAUUAUUAGAGCCCUGUGGAUGUGAAAUAACACCCCUAUGGUCACCUUUACACUCCUAUUGCACAAUAUAGUAGACAUAGUAAGAGAAAUGAAGACAUAGAAAACCUGUUUACAACUUCUAAAUCCACCUUUUAUCAUUAUUAGAGCCCUGUGGAUGUGAAAUAACACCCCUAUGGUCACCUUUACACUCCUAUUAACCAAUAUAGUAGAUAUGAUAAAAGAAAAUAAGACAUAGAAAACCUGUUUACAACUUCUAAAUCCAUCUUUUAUCAUUAUUAGAGCCCUGUGGACAUGAAAUAACACCCCUAUGGUCACCUUUACAAAAGCUGUUUACAACUUCUAAAUCCCCUUUUUAUCAUUAUUAGAGCCCUGUAGACAUGACUUAACAGCCCUAUAGUCGUAUUGCACAAUACAGUAGAGGAUCUAGCGAGGGAUUACCGUAUGGCUUUCCAAUGUGGACACUGACUACUCUAAAGUGCAUUUAUAUGCUAUGCUGUUGUCCCGUGUGCAGAUGUUGUGUACGGGCAGGCGACGCUGUACACUGACGUCUAAGCACUUCCUGUGUGCGUUGAAGGCAACCACAUGACCUCGGACCCAUUCCCUGUCAGGCGGAUGUGAGGCGGCUGUGCUAGCAGGCCAGAUCAGGAACCGCUUGUGGACGAGACCAGAAGGUAAAAGCUCUACCAAGCAGGCUCCAUGUGUUGGUGUGGAGGUGCUCCAUGCACGACACAACAACUGAUAGAAACAUUCUCUUCACUUUCCCACAAUGCACCACGAUGCUAGUGAGUGUGUGUGUGUGUGUGUGUUAAAUGUUGAGCAGUGAGGGAGGGUGCAAAGAAAAAGUUCC